CACUCUAAAUUAUUGUGAAAUUUUCACUAUAAGCAUCAGUUGAUUACUAUCAUUAAUACACAGACAAAGCAAAAAAACUAAAACCGAUUCUAACGCCAAUAAGCGAAGCUUAAUCCCAAACUUCUAAAACACUAAGUAACCCAAGCCUGAGUCAAAACCACCAAAAAAUGAACUCUAAAUCAGAGUUCUUUUAUUACAAAUUUGUAAUUCGUAAGAAUCUUAUUAAAAAUAAUUUCAAUAAAAUAAUAGAAUAAUUAAACUUAUAAAAUAUAAAAAUCAAAAGACUUCAUUAUUACAUUAUGGAUCAUAUAAAUUAUGAUCCUAUUUGCUACAUUUAUUUGAAAAUGAUUUCAUAUCAUAAUAAGUUUUCACUACAUUUGAUCGCGUAGUUUAUUGCCAGAGAUAGAUUAUUUAUAUAGAAAAGAUAAAAAAAAAAAAAACACAACUUACUAAUAUACUUGCCAUUACUAAAACCCUAGUGGAAUAUUGAAAGGCAUUUGAUUUUGCAUUGCUCCAGUAAUUUUUUCGAUUGAAAAAGGUAGACUAAUUUGCAUCUUUCAAUACACUCAUGUAAGGUUUUUCUCCUAGCUGCAAUAAUAUAAGAUGUAGUCCCAGUCUGUGUAGGAAUUAUAUCAUAAAAUUUAGCAAUAACAACACAAAUGAUUACUCCAAUCAACAACAUUGCU
rnacentral:lncRNA from 1 species